rnacentral:rRNA from 1 species
GACGAACGCUGGCGGCGUGCUUAACACAUGCAAGUCGAACGGUGAAGCGCCUUCCUUUUUGGUGGGUGUGGAUGAGUGGCGAACGGGUGAGUAACACGUGAGUAACCUGCCCCCUUCUUCUGGAUAACCGCAUGAAAGUGUGGCUAAUACGGGAUAUUCUGGGUCUGUCGCAUGAUGGGUCUGGGAAAGAUAUUGUUUCGGUGGGGGAUGGGCUCGCGGCCUAUCAGCUUGUUGGUGGGGUGAUGGCCUACCAAGGCGGUGACGGGUAGCCGGCCUGAGAGGGUGGACGGUCACACUGGGACUGAGAAACGGCCCAGACUCCUACGGGAGGCAGCAGUGGGGAAUAUUGCACAAUGGGCGCAAGCCUGAUGCAGCGACGCCGCGUGAGGGAUGGAGGCCUUCGGGUUGUGAACCUCUUUCGCCAGUGAAGCAGGCCUGCCUCGUUUGUGGGUGGGUUGACGGUAGCUGGAUAAGAAGCGCCGGCUAACUACGUG